rnacentral:lncRNA from 1 species
AGGAGAUUAAAAGUUGUCACCACACCAAAACAGGCUAUUGCCUAUUCUUCAGCAGCAAUAAAAAACUCCUAAACAACUUUUAUGACCUGAGAGACUUUAUUUACAUAAGACAAUCUUUGUUCACCAUGCAGUUCCUCUCCUUUUCCUCUCAUAACUGUCAUCACCUCCCCUUCAAGCCCCUAUUCAUUUUAUGCUAUGAAACCUUCAACCAUUUGUACUAAUAGUUAUGUUCUCUUGUCACAGUCUGCAUUCCUGUGAUUCCCUGACUUCUUAAAUGAUUAAAAUUGUUUACAUAAAAUUUUGACCCUUUGUGCAGUAAAGUUCUAUAUGUUUUCACAAAUACACAAUGUCAUGUAUACACCAUCACAGUAUCAUACAGAAUUGUUUCAUUGCCCUAAAAAACUCCUGUGCUUCACCUAUUCAUUCCUCCCUCUCCUCAAACUCUGGCAACCACUGACAUUUUUAUUCUCUAUUGUUUUGUCUUUUCCAGAGUGUCAUAUAGUUGGACUCAUAUAGUAUGCAGCCUGUUCAGAAUGACUUCUCUCACUUAACAGUAUGCAUUUAAGGUUCAUACAGGACUUUCUGUGGCUCGAUAGCUCAUUUCUUUAUUGUUGAAUAGUAUUCCAUCAUAUGGAUGUACCAGUUUGUUUAUCCAUUCACUUAUUGAAGAAAUGUGUGUUGCUUCAAGUUUUAACCAAUUAUAACCUUGUUAUGAACACGUGUGUGCUGUUUUUAUGUGGACAAGUUUUCAAAUCAGUAAAUACCUAGAAGUGAAACUGUUCCAACUGUCCCAUAGAAAUGACAUUUAAAAGUUUUGGAACACACAUGGAAAUUGACCCUUCAGGUCUUAAAACUUGAAAUUUACAUUUGUCUCAUCUGAGUUCCUCCCUCAGGGAACUGAUCCUCAGGCAAGGGACUUAAACUCACCAGAUCACCACAUCGAAAUAAGAUGCCAGACCCCCUCAUUCAUCAUAAUUGCUUCUUUACCCCCCUUAAUUCCUUCCCUCACUAUGUAAGCCUCCCCAGUUGUAGUUGGUCAGGGAUUUGAGACUUUAUCUCCCAUUCUCCUUGGCUGCAGCACCCAGUGAAAUACUUCUUUCAUGGCAACAUUCAUUGUCUCAGUGAUUGACAUUCUGUGUGGUGAGCAGCAGGACUGAACCCCCUGUCAUUUUGGUAACAGGAGCAUGAUUGCUGGAUCAAUGCUAAGGCUAUGCCUAGCUCUUUUAAGAGCCCACCAAACUGUCUUCUAAAGAGGCUGUACCAUGUCACAUUUCAAUGAACAAUGAAGAGUUCCUGUUGCUCCACAUCCUUGCCAUCUUUUGGCAUUUUUAGUGUUUUCGCUUUCUACCAUCCUAGUGGGUGCUAAGGGAUAACUUAUAGUUUUAAAUUGCAAUUCCCUGAUGACAAAUGAUGUUGAGCACAUUUUCACAUUCAUGUUUAUUUUUGAUGUCUAUUCAGACCUUUUGCCCAUGUUUAAAUUGGGUCAUUUGUCUUAUUAUUUUUACGGCUUUUUUUGUGUUUUUUUGAGAGGCAGUCUCACUCUGUCACCUGGACUGGAGUGCAGUGGUGUAAUCUCAGCUCGCUGUAACCUCCACCCCAGGUUCAAAUGAUUCUCCUGCCUCAGCCUCAGGAGUAGCUGGGAUUACAGGUGUGUGCCACUAUGCCCAGCUUAUUUUUGUAGUUUUAGUAUGGACAGGGUUUUGCCAUAUUGGCCAGGCUGGUCUUGAACUCCUGACCUCAGGUGAUCUGUCUGCUUUGGCCUCCCAAAGUGCUGGGAUUACAGGCAUGAGCCACUGAACCCGGCCCUGAGUUUUAAGUUCUUACCUGCCUAAUUGUCCUGGCUAGAACCUCCAGUACAAUGCUGAAUAGAAGUGGUGAGCUUGGAGAUCAUUUUCUUGUUCCAUAUCUUAGGAUAAGAGCUUUCAGUCUUUCAUCAUUAUGUAUGAUGUUAGCUGUGGGUCUUCAUAGAUAUCCUUUCUCAGGUUGAAGAAGUUCCUGUUUACUUCUAGUCUGUUCACUGCUUUUAUCAUGAAAGGCUACUGGAGGUUGUCAAAUGCUUUGUGUCUAUGGAAAUGAUUAUGUAUUUAUCUUUUGUGAAUUAUCCCAUUAAUAUACUGGAUUUACUGAUUUUCGUAUGUUAAACCAAUCUUGCUUUCCUGGGAUAAAUCCCAAUGGAUCACAGUGUAUAAUUCUUUUGAUAUCUUGCUGGAUUUCAUUUGCUAGUACUUUUUUUUUUUGCCUCUGUAUUCAAAAGGGAUAUUGGUAUUAGUUUUCUUUCCUAGUAAUGUCUUUGGUUAUGGUAUCCAUGUCUUCUUUAACUCAUGUGUCUGGUUAUGGUAUCCAUGUCUUCUUUAACUCGUGUGUGUGUGUAUGUAUGUAACCUUAGGCACUCUAAAAUGCAGGGCUCAGGGCAGGAACCUCUCUUGCUCAGCUCUAACCCUUCUGGUCACCUCUUAGUGACUUUUUCCCCCUUUAAGUCUGCCAUUUGAAGGACAUUAUAUCCUAAUUACACCUGAAUAGAAGGGAGAACUUUGGGUCACAUCCUACAGACAGUUCUCAAGACUAAUAAUUUACAUUUAUUGAAUACUUUCUAUAUACUCAGGCAUUGCUCUAACCCCUUUGCAUGUGUUAACUCAAUCUUCCCAACUAAGGAAACUUUGACUUGGAAAGGUUCAGUGAUUUGUUCAAUGGUAACACACUGGAGAGUGACUACAUUUUAAUUAGGGCAAAAUUUUCCAUUUGGCCAAGAACAAAAUCUAACAGCCACUGCUAUUUUGUGAAUAGUAAUUUGAAAAUUAAAGGAAAAUUUUUUUAAAGAAAAGCUUUGUUCUUCAAGUGUGAUCGUUAUUAUUCUUGGGCCAAAAUGCUUUUCAAGGUACAUGUUUUAAUCUUUUUUUAAAAAAUUAUU